UUUAAAGUAAGCUAACUUUAAGCUAUUGGGCUCAUACCCCAAAUAUGAUUAUUAUCCUUUAAUA
rnacentral:tRNA from 1 species